CAUCAAGUUAGUAAGGGCAUACGGAGGAUGCCUUGGGGCAAGAAGCCGAUGAAGGACGCGGCAGGCGGCGAAACGCUCCGGGGAGGUGCGAGCAACCGAUGAUCCGGAGGUCUCCGAAUGGGGAAACCCGGCGCAGGGAAACCUGCGUCACCGCCCUCGUUAGAGGGCGGGGGGCACCGGGCGAACUGAAACAUCUUAGUAGCCCGAGGAAAAGAAAGCAACAGCGAUUCCCCGAGUAGCGGCGAGCGAAAGGGGAAGAGCCCAAACCCACUGGGUGCAAAAGGCUGUGGCCGUUGCUCAGUGGGGGUUGUAGGCAUCCGUCAUCCUGCUUCCACAGGAGCAGGGGGAAGUUACAAAGGACCUGCUUAGCCGAAGUGUCCUGGAAAGGCACGCCAUAGAGGGUGAUAGCCCCGUAGGCGAAAAGCAGUGUCCCUUCCCGACGGAUAGCCUGAGUACCCCGGGACACGUGAAACCCUGGGGGAAGCAGGGAGGACCACCUCCCAAGGCUAAAUACUUCUUGCCACCGAUAGCGCAUAGUACCGUGAGGGAAAGGUGAAAAGAACCCCGAAAGGGGAGUGAAAUAGAACCUGAAUCCGUAUGCCUACAAGCAGUAGGAGCCCUACGGCCCUAAAGAGGGUCAUGGGUGACUGCGUGCCUUUUGCAGAAUGAGCCGGGGAGUUGCUUGGUGUCGCUCAGGUUAAGCGCUUCAGGCGCGGAGCCGUAGCGAAAGCGAGUCCGAAUAGGGCGAAUGGGGGCUUUUGCUCCCAGGGUGGCACUAAGCAGACCCGAAACCGGGCGAUCUACCCAUGCCCAGGGUGAAAGAGGGGUAAAGCCCUCUGGAGGCCCGAACGGGUUAGGGGUGAAAACCUAUCCGAUGAGGUGUGGGUAGUGUGGGUGAAAUGCCAAUCGAGCCCGGAGAUAGCUGGUUCUCCCCGAAAUGCAUUUAGGUGCAGCCUCACGGGUUGAGUUUCGGAGGUAGAGCACUGGAUGGGCUAAGGGGCCUGCCAGCCUACUGAACCCAACCAAACUCCGAAUGCCGAAACUCGGACCGUGGGAGUGAGUCUACGGGGGACAAGCUCCGUAGGCGAGAGGGGAACAACCCAGACCGCCAGCUAAGGUCCCUAAGUCUCGGCUAAGUGGUAAAGGAGGUGGAACGGCGAAGACAGCCGGGAGGUUGGCUUAGAAGCAGCCAUCCUUUAAAGAGUGCGUAAUAGCUCACCGAGCAAGUCGUUCCGCGCCGAAAAUUCACGGGGCUUAAGCCGAGCACCGAAGCUGCGGGAGCUUCCUUUUAGGAAGCUCGGUAGGGGAGCGUUCCCUGUGCAGAGAAGGCUCAGCGUAAGCGGGGCUGGAGCGCAGGGAAGUGAGAAUCCCGGCAUGAGUAGCGAAAAGAGGAGUGGAAAUCUCCUCCGCCGAAAGCCUAAGGGUUCUCAGGGAAGGCUCGUCCACCUGAGGUUAGGCGGUCCUAAGCCGAGGCCGAAAGGCGUAGGUGAUGGGUAGCCGGUUGAUAUUCCGGCCCUUCCUCUGCGGCGUUAUGAGCUAUGGGGUGACGAAGGUUGGAGGGCUGUCACGCAGUUGGUUUUGCGUGUUCGCCUGUAGGCAAGGCGGGAUAGGAAAAUCCGUCCCGCGGCGGCUUUUCAGCCGCGACUUGCUGGCAGGCGAGGAGCAGCGGGGAAACCCAAUGCGAACCAGCCUGAAGACCUUCCAAGAAAAACCUCUAUGCCAGUCGCAGGGGAAACCGUACCCCAAACCGACACAGGUAGGCAGGCAGAGGAUGCCAAGGCGCGCGGGAUAACCCUCGCUAAGGAACUCGGCAAAUUGGCCCCGUAACUUCGGGAGAAGGGGUGCCCUUGGAGGUGGAUGGCUGAAACGCCAUCUGCUUCUGGGGGUCGCAGCGACAAGGCCCAGGGAACUGUUUAUCAAAAACACAGGUCCUCGCUCAACCCGAAAGGGGAUGUAUGAGGGCUGACGCCUGCCCAGUGCCAGAAGGUUAAGGGUGGAGGUUAGGAGGGUUUCUGCCCUCCGAGGCUUCUACCUUAAGCCCUGGUAAACGGCGGCCGUAACCCUAACGGUCCUAUGGUAGCGAAAUUCCUUGCCGGGUAAGUUCCGGCCCGCAUGAAAGGCGUAAUCACCUGGGCACUGUCUCGGCGAGGGACCCGGCGAAAUUGUGAAAUCCGUGAAGACGCGGAUUGCCUGCGGUGGGACGGAAAGACCCCGUGGAGCUUUACUGCAGCCUGGCGUUGGAUUUUGAGAUACUAUGUAGAGAAUAGGUGGGAGCCUUCGGGCGCCAGUGGAAUACCACCCUUAGUAUCCCGAAAUCCUAACCGAGGCCUAUCCGGCAACGGGACAGCGCUUGGUGGGCAGUUUGACUGGGGCGGUUGCCUCCUAAAAGGUAACGGAGGCGUCCAAAGGUCCCCUCAGCACGGUCGGAAAUCGUGCGUAGAGUAUAAGGGCAUAAGGGGGCCUGACUGCGAGGCCUAUAAGCCGAGCAGAGGCGAAAGCCGGGCCUAGUGAUCCCCUGGUGGCGCGUGGAAGCGCCAGGGCUCAUCAGAUAAAAGCUACCCCGGGGAUAACAGGCUGAUCUCCCCCAAGAGUCCACAUCGACGGGGAGGAUUGGCACCUCGAUGUCGGCUCAUCGCAUCCUGGGGCUGAAGAAGGUCCCAAGGGUUGGGCUGUUCGCCCAUUAAAGCGGUACGUGAGCUGGGUUCAGACCGUCGUGAGACAGGUCGGUCCCUAUCCUCCGCAGGCGCAGGAGACUUGAGGAGAGCCCUCCCUAGUACGAGAGGACCGGGAGGGACGGACCAAUGGUGUACCAGUUGUCUCGCCAGGGGCAAACGCUGGGUAGCCAUGUCCGGAAGGGAUAACCGCUGAAGGCAUCUAAGCGGGAAGCCCCCUCCAAGAUAAGGUCUCCCACUGGGUCAACCAGGUAAGACCGCGGCAAGAACAGCCGCUUGAUAGGCCAGAGGUGUAAGGCGGGCAACCGCUUUAGCCGACUGGUACUAAUCGGUCGAGGACUUGAUGC
rnacentral:rRNA from 1 species